rnacentral:ncRNA from 1 species
CCCGCGCAUGAUCGCGCCGGUGCCCGAGAGGGCUUAAUAGGGAACGCGGUAGGCGCGCCGGACGGCGCACCGAAACCGAGGCUGUCCCUGCAACUGUAAGCGGCGAGCGCGAUGCACCGUCCGGAUUCGCGUCCGGACAGCCACUGGGGCCACCCUGGGAAGGCGUGCAUCAAGCCCUGACCCGCGAGCCAGGAGACCUGCCGGCGUGGGUCGCUCAAUG